rnacentral:tmRNA from 1 species
GGGGGCGACAUGGCUUCGACGUGGGUAGCAAAACCUAAGGUGCAUGUCGAGGAUACAGAUAUCCUCGUUAAAAAGUCUGUAAAACUAUAGUUGCCAACGACGACAACUACGCUCUCGCCGCUUAAUAACCGGUAGAAGCCGUCUGACUGGAGCCGUGCUUGUGCGUCCAGAGUCCUUCGGGACAUUCAGGCGUCAUAUCUCACAUGAUCGCGCUGAUUCACGUCUGGGGUUGAUGCGUUAAAACUUAACCGGAACCGCUGAUCACACGCCCUGUCUGUCGGGCAGUGGCCAGUUAAAUAUAAUCGACAGUGACUAAGCAUGUAGAGCCAAGGGCGGAGUGCUUGCGGACGCGGGUUCGAUUCCCGCCGCCUCCACCA